UAAUGGUUAGAGCAUUGUUUCGUAAAGCCAAAAGUCCCGGGUUCGAUUCCCGGCGAGAGUG
rfam:Agrilus planipennis Contig37743, whole genome shotgun sequence.